rnacentral:rRNA from 1 species
AAUGAACGCUGGCGGCAUGCCUAACACAUGCAAGUCGAACGAAGGCUUCGGCCUUAGUGGCGCACGGGUGCGUAACGCGUGGGAAUCCGCCCUCAGGUUCGGAAUAACAGCGAGAAAUUGCUGCUAAUACCGGAUGAUAUCGCGAGAUCAAAGAUUUAUCGCCUGAGGAUGAGCCCGCGUAGGAUUAGCUAGUUGGUGUGGUAAAGGCGCACCAAGGCGACGAUCCUUAGCUGGUCUGAGAGGAUGAUCAGCCACACUGGGACUGAGACACGGCCCAGACUCCUACGGGAGGCAGCAGUGGGGAAUAUUGGACAAUGGGCGAAAGCUUGAUCCAGCAAUGCCGCGUGAGUGAUGAAGGCCUUAGGGUUGUAAAGCUCUUUUACCCGGGAUGAUAAUGACAGUACCGGGAGAAUAAGCUCCGGCUAACUCCGUGCCAGCAGCCGCGGUAACAC